rnacentral:lncRNA from 1 species
AAACCAGUAAAUAAACCUAUGCUAAAGGCCUAAUCUACAAAAAGGCAUGAGACCAUUUUUGGCUCAGCCCUUGGCUCUAAUUCCUCAGCUCUGAGGCAGAGGAGCAAGGGCCAGGCGAAUUGCUGGAGUGGAGUUUUCAGUAGAUGGUUUUAAUGGCUUGGUGGAAGGGCAGAGGCUGUGGGUUAUCUGUGAGGUAUAAGAAGGACAUUUAAGAAAAACGUUCACUGAUGCAAAUCAAAACCGCAAUGUGAUACCGCCUUACUCCUGCAAGAAUGGCCAUAAUCAAAAAAUAAAAAAACAGUAGAUGUUGGCAUGGAUGUGGCAAUAAGGGAACGCCUCUACACUGCUGGUGGGAAUGAAAACUAGUACAACCACUAUGGAAAACAGUGUGAAGAUUCCUUAAAGAACUAAAAGUAGAACUACCAUUUGAUCCAGCAAUCCCACUACUGGGUAUCUACCUGGAGGAAACGAAGCCAUUAUUCGAAAAAGAUACUUGCACGUGCAUGUUUAUAGCAGCACAAUUUGCAAUCGCAAAAACGUAGAACCAACCCAAAUGCCCAUCAGUCAAUGAGUGGGUAAAGAAACUGUGGUAUAUAUAUAUGAUGGAAUACUACUCAGCCAUAAAAAGGAAUGAAUUAACAGCAUUUGCAGCGACCUGGAUGAGAUUGGAGACUAUUAUUUUAAGCAAAGUAACUCAGGAACGGAAAACCAAACAUCAUAUGUUCUCACUGAUACGUUGGAGCUAAGCUAUGAGGAUGAAAAGGCAUAAGAAUGAUACAAUGGACUUUGGGGACUUGAGGGGAGGAGUGGGAGGAGGUGAGGGAUAAAAAACUACAAAUAGGGUGCAGUGUAUACUGCUCGGGUGAUGGGUGCACCAAAACCUCACAAAUCACCACUAAAGAACUUACUCAUGUAACCAAACACCACCUGUUCCCUAAUAACCUAUGGAAAUAAAAAAAUUAAAAGAG